CAGGGAGAGCUUUCAGGAAUUUGCCCCAAAAUGUUAAUAACCCAGAACACUUCCAACAGCCAACACUUUUCAUAAUAACACAUUCCUAGGUCACCAGAUCUGUAAAGUUCUAGUUCUUAAUAGAAACCAUCCCCUUUUCCAAACCCUGACCCUUAUUCUAGUUCCCAUACCCUGGGGCCCAGUACCUGGUGGAAAAAAAAAAGAGGAGUCUGGGAUCCCUAACAUCAGACCAUUGGCAGUCAAGUGUUAGAAUAAAUCUGACGGUCUGGGCCAUUCCUAUCGGAGCCUCAAUUCAGUGCCCAGAAAUGGAUUUCUCUUAGCUUCUCAGGAACCCACAGGACUGUCUUUCCCAUAACCAGAAGAAGGUCCCAUCAACUAUUUCUCGUCCUUUCUCUUCUCCUCUCCUCCAGUCUUAAACCACUGGGAGCAUCCAUCAUCGACUGAGGGCUGGCUGUUGUGUGCCUGUCACUGUGCUCAUUUGUCCUGGGAAUACAAGGCAAGCGUAAUACAAUAUAGUUUAUUCAAAGGGUCUGUAGCUUCUGACCUUCAAAGGGGAGUGCUAAGG
rnacentral:lncRNA from 1 species